CUUUCCAUCUCUCUGUAUGUAUCUCAACUUGGGGAGCUCUUUCUCUGUGGCUGUACUUCUGUCUCUUCCUGCAUCGGUGUCUGUCUCCGUCUCUGUGCGUCUCUGUCUCCAGUCGCAGUCUCUCCCCGCCCCUCCCCCCUGCUGCUGCUAUCUCCAUCUUGUUCCCCUGCACUCCCCCAGUUGGGCACCUGCCUGUCUUCCAGCCCCUCCCCCCUGGGGAGCAGGUGUCUGGGUCCCUCCAAAAUGAGCUCCUAAGACUGAGAAUGAGGUGGGGAGGAGGCAUGGAUGUUGUUGAGGCACAAGUAGAAAGGGGGCUGAGGAGGACCCUUAGGGCCAUGCAGCUAAACCCUCACCCCCAGUUUACAGAUGGGGACACUGAGCCUCAGAAAGCUGCAGCAGCUUCCCCAGAGUCCAGCUGCUGGAGGCAACAUCCUGGCAGAUGGCAGAGGGAAGGAAGAAAUGAGAGAACUCUAAGACAACCAUGCUGUGAGCAAGCCCAUGGAGAGGCCAUGCAGAGGAGAAUCAAGGCACCCUGGCCCAAAGCCUCAGUCUAGCCCCAGCUGAAUGCAGCAGCAUGAGUAACCUCUGGAGAGAGACAGAGACAGCCAGCGAGAGAGGGAACACAAGCAGGGGGAGUGGAAGAGGAAGAAGC